rnacentral:snRNA from 1 species
AUACCUUUCUCGGCUUUUUGGCUAAGAUCAAGUGUAGUAUCUGUUCUUAUCAGUUUAGUAUCUGAUAUGUGGGCCAUCGGCCCACAUGAUAUUAAAUUAAUUUUUCUUAGGGGAAGGCCCACU